UGCUGUGAAAACAAAGGAAUUACUAACUACACCCUCCCCCACCUGAGGACGAGUUCCACAGACACUCCAGCGCGGGGAAGAGCCCUCACACAGGAACACCUGCCACGAGCAGUCGUGCAUCAGGCAGCUCAGCCCAGGACCCACUGAGGAAUCGGUGGCCCGCAGCGUGGCCGGGCUGACGCUGGCGGAGGGGCAGAAAACGUGGACGUGCGCCGCCGCCGUGCUGGGGUGCGCAGGAGGUCGCUCUGGGAACGUGAGCCUGCGGCGGUGAUGAGACGGGUUGCGCAGACCCUGAGAACUGAAAGCAGGAAGAUGCGGACAGAGGUGUGCAUACCCGGGUUUCGAGCAGCAUCAUCAUUCACCAGAGCCAAGAGGUGGAGAGGCCCGAAUGCCCGUGGACAGUUGGAUGCAUAAACACACAUACCCACACAGUGGGACGUGCGCAGCCUUGAAAAGGAGGCGAGCUGACAGCCGCUACAGCACGGAUGGACGCUUGAGGACGUCAUGCUACGUGAAAUAUCCAAGCACGAGAGGACACACACUGCAUGAUCCUUCUUGUGUGAGGUCCCUAGGGUGGUCAGAUUCUCAGGGAGAGA